rnacentral:rRNA from 1 species
AAUGAACGCUGGCGGCAGGCCUAACACAUGCAAGUCGAGCGGAUGCAGGGGGCUUGCUCCUGGCUUCUGCGGCGGACGGGUGGGUCAUGCCCAGGAAUCUGCCUGGUCUCUGGGGAUGGGGUCCGAACACGGGAGCUAAUCUCGCAUCCGACCAGAGGUAGCACGUGGGGGAUCUUCGGUCCUAACGCUAUCUGAUGAGCCUAGGUGGUAUUAGCUAGUUGGAUGGGUAACGGCUUACCAAGGCGACGAUGCGUAACUGGGCUGAGAGGAUGAUCAGUAACACUGGAACUGGGACACGGUCCAGACUCCGACGGGAGGCAGCAGUAGGGAAUAUUCGGCAAUGGGCGAAAGCCUGAUCCAGCCAUGCCGCGUGAGUGAAGAAGGUCUUCGGAUCGUAAAGCACUGUAAGUUGGGAGGAAGAGAAGUAUGUUAAUACGUGGCUGUUUUGACGGUACCAAAAGAAAAAGCACCGGCUAACUUCGUG